AUCCAGAUGGCGAGUCCCAAAUAGGACGAAAUGCGCAUCCUGGCUAGAU
rfam:Trichobilharzia regenti genome assembly, scaffold: TRE_scaffold0001965